rnacentral:misc_RNA from 1 species
GAAAUGCGAUAAGUAAUGUGAAUUGCAGAAUUCCGUGAAUCAUCGAAUCUUUGAACGCACAUUGCGCCCUCUGGUAUUCCGGGGGGGCAUGCCUGUCCGAGCGUCAUUGCGAACCCCUCAAGCACGGCUUGUGUGAUGGGCCCUCCCGCGUCUUGGUCGUCAAGACGGGCCCGAAAUGCAGUGGCGGCUUCGCGGUUAUCCGAUCAGCCAGAGCGUAUGGGGACUCUCUCUCUUGUCACACGCCCGCGGCGCGGACCGACGCCUGUCGACCUUUAUUCAUCUUCUCUCGGUUGACCUCGGAUCAGGUAGGGAUACCCGCUGAACUUAGGC